GGGACAAUGAUGACAACCCAAUGUCAUGAAGAGAAAUGGUGACAUCAAAAUAAGCCUCUAGGUAUAUGCUGAGGCCC